rnacentral:rRNA from 1 species
CACGUAGGGUGCAAGCGUUGUCCGGAAUUAUUGGGCGUAAAGAGCUCGUAGGCGGUUUGUCGCGUCUGCUGUGAAAACGCGAGGCUCAACCUCGCGCCUGCAGUGGGUACGGGCAGACUAGAGUGUGGUAGGGGAGAUUGGAAUUCCUGGUGUAGCGGUGGAAUGCGCAGAUAUCAGGAGGAACACCGAUGGCGAAGGCAGAUCUCUGGGCCAUUACUGACGCUGAGGAGCGAAAGCGUGGGGAGCGAACAGG